rnacentral:misc_RNA from 1 species
ACGGAUCAAUGGAGAAUACUUGAAUGCAAAGUCACAAGGGCCAGUUGAGAUUCGAAAGUCUUCCCCAGCGGUCGCAGCACAGUUUCCUAUUCGCUAGAUCGUUGUGAUUUUCGCCAGUCUUGCCGGUAGCAAAACACGUCAGGUCAAGUGCAGGUGUACUCCUCUACAGGCGUCUACACCAACACAGAACUUUUGCCGUUAUUAGUGUUGUGUUGUUUUCGUUAUUAUUAUUUUUCUUUGUGCGUACGAGAUGGGAUUAAUAGAAACGCUGCGCUUUCGCGUUCUUCCCUAUUGGAAGACGUACGUGUUGGUCCUUUUGCCGUUGAUCCUUUUACCGUUACCGGUGAUCGGUCAAGGAAAGGAAGCACGAGCGGGCUAUGUAAUCAUCAUAAUGGCCGUUUUCUGGAUGACGGAAGCUCUGCCUUUGGCCAUCACCAGUCUGCUUCCGGUUGUCCUCUUCCCCUUACUAGGCAUCAUGGGCACCGGAAAAGUGUGCACGGCUUACAUGAAAGAAACGAACAUGAUGUUUAUCGGAGGCUUGAUGGUAGCUCUGACGAUCGAACACUGCAAUUUGCAUAAGAGGAUCGCCCUAAGAGUGCUGCUGUUGGUCGGCGCUAGUCCUAGAUGGUUGAUGCUAGGAUUCAUGUUAACGACUAUGUUUCUAUCCAUGUGGAUUUCCAAUACAGCUACGACUGCCAUGAUGGUUCCCAUCGUUGAAGCAGUCGUUCAAGAGCUUUUCAAGGAUGGCGAAGAAGAAAUGAAGAGAGAGCCGAACGUGCGUAUGGUUCCAGACGGGAUGUCGACGUGUUCUUCCAACAACACACUUGAGAUCGAUCUGGAUUCAUCCGAAAGUCAGAAUCUCGAGGCAGUUUCCAUUGAUUCCAUUGCCGAUGUGGGUAAAAGCUGCCAGGAGCUAACAGCAGCUUCCGCGGACCAAAGGUUGUAUGGAUCCGCUCCUGGUUUGAAUUUUGCUUCGUGGAUGGCCUUCAAUGUCCCAGGCAUGCUUAUCAACACGUUCCUGGCAUGGAUUUGGCUGCAGUGUCUCUUCCUCGGAUUCAAACGAACAACUGCUGAUGACAAUACGCAAGCUGCAGUCAUUAAGAAAUUGAUUCGUAGAAAAUACGAAGAAUUGGGACCUAUGACGUUCCACGAAUUGGCGACAUUGAUCUUAUUCAUUUUGUGCGUUGCACUCUGGUUUUUCCGUGACCCACAAUUCAUUACUGGAUGGGCCGAAUUCCUACCCGCGGUAGAAGUGGAUGAUGCCACUGCAGUGAUGACCAUCGUCCUGCUUCUUUUUAUCAUCCCCGCAAAACCGAGAUUUUGGAACCGUGACACAGCAGAGAGAAAUCGGGCUGGGCCCAGUCCUGCCCUUUUGGAAUGGAAAUUGGUGCAGGAUAGAUUACCAUGGGGAAUCGUUCUCCUAUUAGGUGGCGGCUUUGCCUUAUCUGACGCCUCUAAAGCAUCAGGUCUUUCUUCUUGGCUUGGAGAUCAAUUAGCUGUUUUGAGUUUCCUGCCUCCGUUCGCCAUCAUGUUGAUUAUCUGCAUCAUGACGGCCGCCGUUACAGAAGUGGCAUCUAACACAGCGACAGCAAACAUCCUUUUGCCGAUUCUCGCUGAAAUGGCAGUAACGAUUAAAGUUAACCCACUCUUCCUGAUGUUACCUGCUACUGUGACUUGUUCGUAUGCAUUUAUGCUACCAGUUGCCACUCCACCCAAUGCAAUUGUUUUCGCCGCCGGUAGAAUGAAUCCGACUGAUAUGGUGAAAGCGGGUUUACUAAUGAACAUAGUAUGCGUCGUUGUCAUUUGCGUGCUGAUGGCUAGCUUUGGUAGUUUCAUGUUCGGCUUCGACGAAUUCCCCGAUUGGGCUGUGCCGCAAGUGAAAAAUGCAACCAUGACAACAUUGUCACAAUUUUCGAACUGCACAUCUCCGUGAACGAAUUCGUCGUGAACAACGGGAACAUAGGGGAAAGAAGUGAUGUGGGUGAGCUUGAAUAUACUCUACGGUACUGGGAAUAACGCUUUGGCCAUGGAUAGGUAUAUAGACCAAAAAGGUUGAUAACCAUUUUUUUAGUGUACACGACAAUCAGUCAAUAUUUCAGCGCUUUAUUGCAUAAUCUUUGCUGUUUUGCUAUUAUCGUUAGUUAAAGCUUGCAAAAAUUUACAUUCAAACCUGUUUACCCAAAUACAUUGUUUUCUUUAAAGUU